CCUACGGGAGGCAGCAGUGAGGAAUAUUGGUCAAUGGACGAGAGUCUGAACCAGCCAAGUAGCGUGAAGGAUGACUGCCCUAUGGGUUGUAAACUUCUUUUAUAAAGGAAUAAAACGAGGCACGUGUGCCUUUUUGCAUGUACUUUAUGAAUAAGGAUCGGCUAACUCCGUGCCAGCAGCCGCGGUAAUACGGAGGAUCCGGGCGUUAUCCGGAUUGAUUGGGUUUAAAGGGAGCGUAGAUGGGUUGUUAAGUCAGUUGUGAAAGUUUGCGGCCCAACCGUAAAAUUGCAAUUGAUACUGGCAGUCUUGAGUACAGUUGAGGUAGGCGGAAUUCGUGGUGGAGCGGUGAAAUGCUUAGAUAUCACGAAGAACCCCGAUUGCGAAGGCAGCUUACUAAACUGUGACUGACAUUGAUGCUCGAAAGUGUGGGUAUCAAACAGGAGUAGAUACCCCAGUAGUC
rnacentral:rRNA from 1 species